rnacentral:rRNA from 1 species
CAGUCGCCGCGGGAAUACGAAGGGGGCUAGCGUUGUUCGGAAUUACUGGGCGUAAAGCGCACGUAGGCGGAUCGAUCAGUCAGGGGUGAAAUCCCAGGGCUCAACCCUGGAACUGCCUUUGAUACUGUCGAUCUGGAGUAUGGAAGAGGUGAGUGGAAUUCCGAGUGUAGAGGUGAAAUUCGUAGAUAUUCGGAGGAACACCAGUGGCGAAGGCGGCUCACUGGUCCAUUACUGACGCUGAGGUGCGAAAGCGUGGGGAGCAAACAGGAUUAGAUACCCGCGUAGUCCCUGUCUCUUAUAC